GUCCAGGGAUGGGAAUCGAACCCACAUUGUUCCGCUCACCGCGCCGAUGCCAAAUUCACUAGGCUACCCUGGA